GUGUGAGAGAGAAACGGGAACACAGCACCCAAAUUGCUUUCUAGAAUGGCAUGGCAGCCCAGCACGGAUCUGGAAAGCCGCCCCGGUCAGUCCAUCCGCCUGGGCGCAGAGGCGCACUGUCAGCACCAGGGCGGGUGGUGGCGGUGACCAAGGGCCCCCCAGAGCAACCGUCUUGAGGCCGCGAAGGGAAGAAACGUCCAAAACCGGCGACGGGAGCCAGUCCCCCGACACUCCUCCGAGGGGAUCCCCCCUGAGGCCGCUCUCUGGGUGCCCACCCCAGACUCUCCACGCCGCAGGAUCCAUUGGCUGAUAUUGUAAAUCUGGAAGCAGAGUGCGGUUAACCUUUUAUAAUCUGCAGUAGUUUGGUAUGUCCCAACUCGUGAAUGUGGUUCUGUUUUUGGUUUAUUUACUUGAGAAUGACGUCUAGGGUGAAGCAUGGAAGUUAGGGGUUGAAAUGAUGUGGGUAGUCGGCACCCCAAGUCCCGGGUAUAGGGGUCUGCCUGCCAGUAAGUCCCAGCACUCAGGAGGUUGGGGCAGAGGAUCUCCUGACGCCAGAUUUUCUGAGGCUAGCCUGGCCAAUGUAGCUAGGUCCUGUCUCAUAAACAAACAAGAGCCAGGCAUGGUGGCGCACACCUUUAAUUCCAGAACUUGGGAGGCAGAGGCAAGAGGAUCACGAUGA